AAUUUUUGAAGCAGCGAAGCACCAUGAUUCGUGGCAAUUUUUUCCUCUCAUUCUUAGAAGAUCAAUUGUGAAGCUGGUGAAAGAAGAAAUCGUAUCAGUAGCAGAGCUCCAUAGAAACACUGUCGCGACUCACGGCGAGCUCUCAAUUCCAGAGCAUAGCCUGAAAUCUGCUCAGCUGAGCCCUAACAUCCAUUGAAAGAUUCACAGCGCCAAAACGAAGUUGCUGUAUUUCAAAAACUAUUGCUAUGGCUGAUAAGAAGGCACUUUUUCGGGCAAAACUAGCACAGAGGAAAGAGAAGCGAAUUGAGAGUCCUCUUGUAAGGUAUAAUGAGCUUGAGCAACCUGUCUGUAGAGUUUGUGAUGUUAUCCUGAAAUCUGAGACAGACUGGACUGUUCACCAAGCUUCUCGUAAACACAAUGCGGCAAUCAAUAAUCUCAAAGCCAAUGCUGCUGCACUAAAGCAAACCAAGAAUCUGAAGCCUGGGCUUUCUAAAGAUUUAACUAGGCCUGAGCCUGAGAAUCAUGAAGAGUUGCAUAAUAAAGAAGCUGAACCUGCAGGAUUGUCUAAACGUCGACAAUCAUCUUCUCUUCCUCCCAACUUCUUUGAUAGUAAAGAAACAAAGAAACAGAAAAGUGUCAAUGCUCAAACUGAAGAAUUGCAGCCACCUAUAUCAAGGAGCAAAGUGGACAUAGCAAAUGAAAAUGUUGACUCAAAGAUUUCUGAAUUGGGGCCAUCCAGGGAACAACUAGCAAAACAGAGUCUUGGUUCAGAAGCUAGGAAGGCCAAAGGAAUUCUUCCUGAAGGAUUUUACGAUAAUAAAGAUGCUGAUUUGCGUGCACGUGGCAUUACACCAGUCAAACCUGAUGUCAAGGAUGAGUAUAAGGAAUUUGAGAAGUUGAUCCAGGAGGACUUACAGGAGGUUGACAAACGUUUAGAGGAAGAGGAGUAUGAUGCAGCUGAUACGAUUGAAGAGGCUGAGACUGUGGAACAAAGGGCCUGUAAGGAAAGAGUGGAGAGGUGGAAGAAGAGAAAGAUUGAACUUAAGGCUGCCAAGUCUACCAUUCGUGGCAAAGAUACUAAGAUCACUAACAAGGAGUCUAGCGAUGAAGAGUCAUCAAGUGAUGCUGACAGUGAUGAAAAUUUAACAGUUGAUUGGAGAGCUAAACAUCUGUGAAAUUCUCAUGCUUUUGUUUUUCGAUCUGAAAGUUGACUGAACCAUUAUUUGGUAGGAAUUUAGAUGCUUGUGUCUCCAAACAUGAACUGCGAAUUCUCAUAGCUUUGUUGUUACGUAAUGCAAAUUCUAACACAUGCAGAAGCUGUUUUAUUGUCAACAUGGCAAAGUUCAACCUCUGUAAGCCUCAAAGAAUCAAAUACGAGAGACAUAACACAACACAUGCUCAUCUAUCAAUAUGGCAAUUUUGGGAUAUUUAGCUGAUACAUAUAUGUUUGCACAAUCAAAGCUUCUUUUAUGCUAUCUGUUAUUCUCCAACCGGUCUUAAGUAAGAUGCUUUAGGCUUCUUCAAACUCUAUCGUCAUUUGAAUUUACCAAUUGAUCAAAGUUGUCGUGGUUAGCUGGAGAUGUAUUUUAAAAAUUGGGUAAAACUGUUAGCAGCCAUAAUGGGAAAUGUGAAUCUCAUUAUUAUUGUUGUGUUUUUCUGUUGCUUGAAAUUAUGGAAAUAUUUAUAAUCAUUGAACACAAGAUGCAUUGAGUUAA